rnacentral:misc_RNA from 1 species
UCGAAUCUAACAUGAAGAGGUAGAGAGACUGUGCUGGCCGAUCGCGAUUGGCAUGUGCACGUCCCCUCGCCUUUUCCUGUCUACAUACACCUGUGCACCUAUCGUAGAUCCCCUCGAAAGAGAGGGAACUAUGUUUUCAUCACAUCACACGCAAAGAAUGUCUAGAAUGUAAAUGUGAUAAAUCACAAAUAUAUA